AACACAAAAGAAAAGGGAUUCUGCUUUUCUUUUUUCGCUUGUUUCUUUCAAAAAUCUUACUUCCAAGAUUAUAUCAAGAAAAUGAAGAAGACUAAAAGAUUUUUCUAUUCAGAGAGUUAAAUAACAAGAACAGGAACAAGAACGAAACCCAAGCCAAGUUUCUAACUUUCUUCAAGAAAUGAAAGAGAAAUAACCAGAGAUUGAGUAACACCCAAACUCUGACUAUAAAAUGAGUGUAAAAAAAGCGUGGUGGUCUAGAGGUAUUUAAAAAGAAGAAGAAGCAGAAGCAUUAUAUAAAAAGAUAGUCCAAGAAAGAAAGAGUAAAAAAGAUGACAAGUAAUAGGCAAUAGUAGCAUAAACAUGCUUAUCGUUUGCUACUAUACAUCAUUGUUUAUAAUAAUAAUAAAAAUAGUAACAGCAAAUAAUAAUAAUAAUAAAUUUCAAGAAGAUAUUUAUUUUCUUGAUGGGUAGGUUUCAUAUAAUAUUGAAAACUACUUAUAACAGAGAAGGACAACAAAGACAAGAAAAGAAGUAAGCCCUGUUAAUGGCGGCGAGAAUCAGAGGGAAGAAAGAAGGAGAAAAGGAAAGGUCAGAGUCUGAGAGAGAGAGAGAGAAAGAGAGAGUUUUUGUUGUAGCAGGAAACAGGGUCUUUUCUAUCUGAUUAAACAGCGAACGAGGAAGGUAAAGGGGGAGGGGAUACAGAGAGAAAGAAGGAAACUGGUAAAAAAGUCAGUUUUAGGACAGUCAAAACGUUUCAUUAUUUACCUUCUCUUUUUAAAACCCUUUUUUAAUUAUUGGAAUAGGGAUGUAAUUUUGCUUAUUUGGAGGUUAAUCAGGGUUUUUCUAGUGGCUAAUCCAAUUUACUACUCUA
rnacentral:lncRNA from 1 species